UGGGGAAUCUUCCGCAAUGGACGAAAGUCGGACGGAGCAACGCCGCGUGAGUGAAGACGGCCUUCGGGUUGUAAAGCUCUGUGAUUCGGGACGAAAGGCCAUAUGUGAAUAAUAUAUGGAAAUGACGGUACCGAAAAAGCAAGCCACGGCUAACUACGUGCCAGCAGCCGCGGUAAUACGUAGGUGGCAAGCGUUGUCCGGAAUUAUUGGGCGUAAAGCGCGCGCAGGCGGUCACUUAAGUCCAUCUUAGAAGUGCGGGGCUUAACCCCGUGAUGGGAUGGAAACAGGGAGACUGGAGUAUCGGAGAGGAAAGUGGAAUUCCUAGUGUAGCGGUGAAAUGCGUAGAUAUUAGGAAGAACACCGGUGGGGAAUGCGACUUUCUGGACGAAAACUGACGCUGAGGCGGGAAAGCGUGGGGAGCAAACAGG
rnacentral:rRNA from 1 species